CCUACGGGAGGCAGCAGUGGGGAAUAUUGGGCAAUGGGCGCAAGCCUGACCCAGCAACACCGCGUGAAGGAAGAAGGCUUUCGGGUUGUAAACUUCUUUUUAGAGGGAAGCGCCGAAGACGGUACCUCUUGAAUAAGCCACGGCUAACUACGUGCCAUCAGCCGCGGUAAUACGUAGGUGGCAAGCGGUGUCCGGAUUUACUGGGGGUAAAGGGCGUGCAGCCGGGAAGACAAGUCAGAUGUGAAAUCCCGCGGCUCAACCGCGGAACUGCAUUUGAAACUGUUUUUCUUGAGUACCGGAGAGGUCAUCGGAAUGCCUUGUGUAGCGGUGAAAUGCGUAGAUAUAAGGAAGAACACCAGUGGCGAAGGCGGAUGACUGGACGGCAACUGACGGUGAGGCGCGAAAGCGUGGGGAGCAAACAGGAUUAGAUACCCUAGUAGUC
rnacentral:rRNA from 1 species